GACACGGCUAUGCAGGUUGUGCACCACAUAAUCAACUUUGUCCCUGGGCAGCAUCCGAUGAACUUGACUGAGGUGUGUGGCUGCAAAUUAUCUUAUGGUGGGGCGUGAAAAAUGUUUUGGUAUGAUGUUUUGCUUGACCUUUUAGUUUUGUCGCAGUCUUCUUCAAUUGCUGUCAAGAAGAAGCUUCUUCAGGCCCACCUCACGAUGGUGGGUAACACUGGCAGCCUACCCUGCCAUGUUGAAGCAUGAUUGUCAUCCCAAAAGGUCUGGGUAACCACACAGAUUAACUCUCUGUGCCCCUGCAUAUAUUGCAAAAGCAGGGACUUUAUCUUAAGUUGGUCACCAUAUGUUUUGUGUAUCCUCCCCUUCAGCUACUAGAUGACUGUGGUCCGGGAAACAUAAGAUAUUGUAAUAUUAUCAGUAUUGCCCAGUUACUAUCCCAGUUUGGUGGGUGUUUUAAGUAUUUGCGAACCUAUGAUAUUGUAACCAUUUCAGUGCGGAACGGAUAAAACCAUAAAAAUAUUUAGC
rnacentral:lncRNA from 1 species